AGUGUUCAAGGAUGUGUCCACAGACUUCUCUCAGGAAGAAUGGAACAGAAGGAUCUGUAGAGAGAUGUAAUGUUGGAGAACUACAGCACCAUGGUCUCAAUGGGAUUUUUCAUUUAUAAACCUGAUGUGCUCUCCUUAUUGGAGCAAGAAAAGAGCCCUGGAAGGUUGUGCAGGAUGUGACAAGAGGUCAGAGCCCUGAUGAGUAAGAGUUGGUCAGGCAACGGGAGACCAUUCUGGGUAGUGGACGGCUACUGCAGUGGUUCUGAAUUGGCAUUGGAGGAUUCCGCAUCUGACUGGCAAAAAAUAAAGGAGGAUUAGAGCAAAUAUGAAAAGACUCAGAAUAUACCAAGCAGAAUAUUUUAAUAUAUUAAAGGAAUUGAAUCCCUUGA